rnacentral:lncRNA from 1 species
GCCUAAGAUGGAAGUGCUUGAAUGAAAGAUGAACGUUUAUAUUUGCUCUGACUUCCAUUCCCAGAUAUCAAAGCAAAUUAGGGACACUUAGAGAAUAAUUUCAAGGCAGUGGGGACUGAAAAUUAUGGGUUUUGACUUUGAAGAACACCAAGAAACUGCCUUUAUUUAAAAAAAGGUUGGCAAAUGCAGAGUAAUUUUCCUCUGUUUGGAGUGACUCAUGACCGCUUGUGUUUUAAUUUACAGUGUUUCAAACCGAGCCUCGCAAAUUACCAUCUGUGUGACCUUAGGCAAGAACAUUUGGGCAAUGCAAUGGUUUUGAAAUACAGUCAGCUUCAGUCAUUGAAUGGAUACAAACGAUGCUCCCUCCGGAAAUGGGUACCCAUAAAAUGGCCGAACGGACAACUGGUCUGGAGAUCUUUUUCUACACCUGUGCCCAUCCACGCAGAGUGGGGUUGCUCCUGGUCCCUGGCCCUGCAAGGCGGAACAGAUGCCACCUCUUGCAAAUGUCAAGGAACAUAAUAAUACAGAAAAAAUAGUUCAGCAACAUGAAAACAAACAUGCCUAUGAAGACAAUAAGCUGCUGAUAGUAGGAAAAAAGAAACUCUUCUUGGAAAUUCACUCUGCAGGAAACGUUAAAAAAAUCAAUUAAAAACUACAGUGGCAGGAGCAACAGAAACUCCAUGUCACGACUCAAAGCAAGAGAAAAAAUGCCACACGUGUAAUACAUAUUUCUUAGAACUUUUCACUUGAUGAAGACUGUGUGGCAUGGCAUUUCAACAUGGUGUUUCUAGGGUUACCAGUUGGCUUGGAUCUGUUCUUAACAGCGAAGUCUUACACCAACACCCCACAUGUGACAUCUUUGCCAUCUCAUUCUGGUUGCUAAUAGGCUGAUGUCCACAUGAUGAUUCACAUUAGCCCCAGGUAUGCCCAGAAGAGAGAGCAAAGACUCUGAGUGACUGGACCUUCUAAUAUGAAGCACAUAUUAGACAAUGGUUUGUGUUUGCCUUCCAUUUAGAACUCAAAUUUGCAUUGUCAAAUUUCCAUUUGAUUUUGCAAGGCGGGAUCUUAAUACUUGGCAAUACUUAUAAUUGGUACUUUAUUUAAACAAAUAUAUACCUGUUCUCUAUAAAACAAAGAUACUGAAGAGAUCAAACACAAUGAAAGCCCAGGUUAACUCAAUGUGGGGAUCACUGCUUGUUUCACACUAUUGAUUGCGUCUGUCACUGUCUACGUGUAUUUAUUCUCCAGACAACUGGUGGAGUAAGAUCAAGUAGACUUGAGAGUUGAAAUUGGAAAUAUGAUAAUUCACAUAACAAGGUUCAAUUCGAUACCUACAGUUCUGGCUUCAAUGCACUACCAAAUUCCAUUAUUUAAUUUCCACAUAGAAUUUUCUCUUAUCUCAUAUAGAAUUUCAAAUGUCAAUGUACAAACCUCCCAGUUAAAUGUCAUUCAUGUGAACUUUUUCUCAAAAAUACUUUAAAAUUGGAAAUACCUGAAAUAGACGAUCAACGUUAGCGUAAGAAUCAGAAGCAGCGUGCUCCAAAGAAGCCCAGCAACUUCAAAUUUAGUCCACGAUGGGAAGCACUUGUUGUUCCCUACGUGUUAUGCACAUGCAAAUAUGUAUGUGUAAAUAUAUAAUACAUAUUAAAAUUCACCCAAACUUUAAGCCUACCUGUGUAUAGCUACAUUAAAAAAGAGAAACUACAUCAUUGGAAAAGGGGCAUAAAAUGGCUUCUGAAAUAUCUAUAAGGUAUAUGGAUCUUUAAAAAGUCUGGGGAAGAUGCAAGAUGCCAAGAAGAAGGAGUGAAGUGCUCUCUAAUGCAGAUUGUUUUGAGUGUAUAAUUUAUUAAUGAUGUGUUGAUGUAUUUCCUGUUCAUUGUCACUCGGACCAUCCACUAGUUACAAGAAGAGGUUGCCUGAGGAGCAGCAGAUUCAGCAAGGCGUGAUGAAGCUGUUUGCUGUGCCCUUUAGAGCAGCCUUCUGCGAGGGUAUGCCGACAGAAGCUGCGUUGUCCUGGCUUACUCUUUCUAACUAUAGGCAAAAUGGAUAAUUUGCUUUUGGUUACUGUUUUUGUACAUUCCAAGAUAGAUUUUUUUUUUGUAGGAUACGAUUAACCUGUCAAUAAGCCUUCAGAUAUUUUUAUGAGAUUGCUUUAAGAUUAUAGUAGUUGGUGCACAUAAAAUGAUACACUUGAGUCUAAGCUCUUCUCGAGAAGUCUGAUUUGAUCUCUGGAGCUGGAGCUGUGGAAGGUAAGGAAAUUGUUUUGCCCUUUCCCUCAGCUGCUUCCACGAGCUCUGAUUAUUGUCACACUUGGCUUCUGCUUCUUUCAAUUGUUCUUUCCUGCGGCAAUUCCCCCUUAGAUCCCAGGUCUUCGAAGAGUUGACCUUCGCUUCAUUCAGUAAGUUGAACCUGACCUUGAGCUAUUAACCCCUAGAAUUUGACCCUUGAAUCUGACAUUCUUGUUUAUGGAAUCUAUUCACUGUCAGUGUUUUCAAAACCAAUGAGGUCAGUGGCCACAUGACAUAAUGGGGGGUGAGAGGGCAUGGGUGGGAGGAGAAGAAGUUUGCCUAAUACAAAUUUCUCUUUGGACAUAAAUGUUCAAUAUUGCUGAAGAUGGGGAUUUGGGUCUAAAAAGUAAGGAAGGAAGAGUCCAAUAGAAAAAUUUGUUCUGAAAUAAAUCUAUUUGAAACCAAACCA